rnacentral:misc_RNA from 1 species
AGUACUCUCUCCAUCCCAAAAUAAACCAACCCCGUACUAGGAUGUGACACAUUCUAGUACAACAAAUCUAAACAUAGAGUAUGUCCUGAUUCGUUGUAGUAGAAUGUGUCAUAUCCUAGUACGAGCUAGGUUGAUUUAUGUUGGGACAGG